rnacentral:rRNA from 1 species
UACGGAAGGCAGCAGUGGGGAAUAUUGCACAAUGGGCGAAAGCCUGAUGCAGCUAUGCCGCGUGUAUGAAGAAGGCCUUAGGGUUGUAAAGUACUUUCAUCGGGGAGGAAAAAACAAAACUAAUAAUUUUAUUUCUUGACGUUACCCGAAAAAGAAGCACCGGCUAACUCCGUGCCAGCAGCCGCGGUAAUACGGAGGGUGCUAGCGUUAAUCAGAAUUACUGGGCGUAAAGAGCACGUAGGUGGUUUUUUUAAGUCAGAUGUGAAAUCCCUGGGCUUAACCUAGGAACUGCAUUUUGAAACUGAAAUCUAAGAGUAUCGUAGAGGGAGGUAGAAUUCGUAGGUGUAGCGGUGAAAUGCGUAGAUAUCUGGAGGAAUACCUGUGGCGAAAGCGGCCUCCUAAACGAAUACUGACACUGAGGUGCGAAAGCGUGGGGAGCAAACGAGGGAUUAGAUACCCGU